rnacentral:tRNA from 1 species
GCCGGUAUAGCUCAGUUGGUAGAGCAACUGAUUUGUAAUCAGUAGGUCCCGGGUUCAAAUCCUGGUGCCGGCA